UACGUAGGGUGCGAGCGUUGUCCGGAAUUAUUGGGCGUAAAGAGCUCGUAGGCGGUUUGUUGCGUCGGCCGUGAAAACCUGCAGCUUAACUGUGGGCCUGCGGCCGAUACGGGCAGACUUGAGUUCGGUAGGGGAGACUGGAAUUCCUGGUGUAGCGGUGAAAUGCGCAGAUAUCAGGAGGAACACCGGUGGCGAAGGCGGGUCUCUGGGCCACUACUGACGCUGAGGCACGAAAGCCAGGGGAGCAAACGGG
rnacentral:rRNA from 1 species